CAGUCGAGGGGCACGGUGGUGAAGGCUUGCCUUUACCAGCCGGCGACCGGCGCACGGGUGAGUAACACGUAUGCAACCUGCCUGCCACAGCCGGAUAAUCGGGAGAAAUUCCGUCUAAUACGGCAUAAUGCACCUAUGGGACAUCCUGUUGGUGCCAAAGGUUAAUUCCGGUGGCGGAUGGGCAUGCGUCGCAUUAGUUAGUUGGCGGUGUAACGGACCACCAAGACGACGAUGCGUAGGGGUUCUGAGAGGAAGGUCCCCCACACUGGUACUGAGACACGGACCAGACUCCUACGGGAGGCAGCAGUGAGGAAUAUUGGUCAAUGGGCGGGAGCCUGAACCAGCCAAGUCGCGUGAGGGAUGACGGCCCUAUGGGUUGUAAACCUCUUUUGCCGGGGAGCAAAGUGCCGCACGUGUGCGGUUUGGAGAGUACCCGGAGAAAAAGCAUCGGCUAACUCCGUGCCAGCAGCCGCGGUAAUACGGAGGAUGCGAGCGUUAUCCGGAUUUAUUGGGUUUAAAGGGUGCGUAGGCGGACGCUUAAGUCAGCGGUAAAAUUGCGGGGCUCAACCUCGUCGAGCCGUUGAAACUGGGUGCCUUGAGUGGGCGAGAAGUACGCGGAAUGCGUGGUGUAGCGGUGAAAUGCAUAGAUAUCACGCAGAACUCCGAUUGCGAAGGCAGCGUACCGGCGCCCAACUGACGCUGAAGCACGAAGGCGUGGGUAUCGAACAGGAUUAGAUACCCUGGUAGUCCACGCAGUAAACGAUGAAUGCUAGUUGUCC
rnacentral:rRNA from 1 species